CGGGCUACUUAAAUUUAUUUUGGGCUACCAAACACUGAAGAGUCCCUACCCGAAGGGCUACCAGGGAUUUUGAAAUUUUGCGAGCCCUGAGAUUUUUUUUUUUUUUUAUUACUUUUUUGUUUCAGCAACAUUAAAUUUAAAAACUGUACUUUUGAGUUAAAAUAUAUAUUUAUAAUUUUAAUAAAUGACAAAUUAAAAGGGCAUGAACAUUUUUUUUUGUAUCGAAAAAAUAUCGAACCGUGACACCAAAGUAUCGAACCGAACUGAACCCUGAAUUUUGUGUAUUGUUGCACCCCUAAUAUAUAUAUAUAUAUAUAUAUAUAUAUGUGUAUAUAUAUAUAUAUAUAUAUAUAUAUAUAUACACAAAAGGCUGAAUAAAUCUCUCAUGCCAUUUCUCACAUAUUACGAACAAAAACAACAUGACUUUUGACACAGACAACUAUGCAGACUUUCAAGUUGGUCACAACAAAGUUGUGCGUGAGUAGUAAUGUGGUAGUACAGCAAUUAUUCAUCUGUAAUUUCAAGUUUUUUAAUGGAAUGAAGAUGUUUCCCCUCAGUACGUUUCAUGUUCUAUCUUUGGUGAGAAACCUUUUGUGUUUGCUUUCAUCUUAAUGUGUCAAUAUUGUCACAUUGUCCUUAUCACGUUUUUAGACUCGUGGGUUGGCUGACACUUCACCCUUUCACUGGACCACAUUAAAAGACUGUUGUAUAACGUUUUUACAUACCGUGGGUUGACCUAGUUCUCUUGUUUUUUUUUUUUUAUUCAAACUAUCAUAUAGUCUAUUAGUGAAAGAAAUGUAUGGAAAUACUAAAGUCACUUUCAUUAUGAGUCAUUAUCUGAAGUGCGUUAUGAUGCAUGAUGGUGCAUAAUGAAUGUUCUGACAUUUGUUGAGGUGGCAUUGUUCUCUUUUGAUGCAACUGUUUAAGGGGAUACAUUUAACAUCACAGACUAAAGGGGACUUUGAAGUGUUUUAUACUACAACUUUUUUUAAACUUUUUUUCAGGGAUUAAAAAACUGAAUUAUAUGUAUUAACUGAAUGAAUUACACGAGUAACUAACUAAAAAAUAGCCCCCAGCAACAGUACUUUUGGGCAGUCAGUUUUCUCUUACUGAGCAGCUCAUACUUGGAAUACAAUACAGAAAUAAGGAACCUAACAUUCUUUACUUCUUUCUCUAAAUCUGUAAAACUGGUUACUGGAUAAUCAAAACAUGUCAUGAUUUUAAAUAAUGGUGGUGAAGAUCCAUGAUUCUAAUAUGUUUUUAUAAGUGAUUUUAACAUUUGAUUUUUAACAUGUUAUGUAUGUUUAUUUUACAUGUGUUUCUGUCUUUGACUUAUGUUCACGUGCCUUCGAAUGUUUGGUUUUCUUGAUUAGUUUAAUAUGCCAUCAAACUGCCAGAGACUACAGAAGAAAAUUAGCCUAUGCGGUUAAAUCUGGC
ensembl:lncRNA